AGCUUUGCGCAGUGGCAGUAUCGUAGCCAGUGAGGUUUAUCCGAGGCGCAGUUAUUGCUAAUUGAAAAUUUUUUCCUUUAUUCUUAAAUACUUUACUUUUCUUCUCUUUUCUUUCCUUUUUUUUCUUUUUAGAGAGGGAGAGAGAGAG